rnacentral:rRNA from 1 species
AUACGUAGGGGGCGAGCGUUGUCCGGAAUUACUGGGUGUAAAGGGCGUGUAGGCGGGGAUGCAAGUCAGAUGUGAAAUUCCGGGGCUCAACCCCGGCACUGCGUCUGAAACUGUGUCUCUUGAGUGCUGGAGAGGAAAGCGGAAUUCCUAGUGUAGCGGUGAAAUGCGUAGAUAUUAGGAGGAACACCAGUGGCGAAGGCGUCUUCCUGGCACAGUACUGACGCUCAUGUGCUAAAGCUAGGGUAGCGAACGGGAUUAGAUCCCCCGGUAGUCCUAGCCGUAAACGAUGGAUACUAGGUGUGGUUGUCGCAGGGCAUCCGUGCCGCAGCUAACGCGUUAAGUAUCCCGCCUGGGGACUACGGUCGCGAGACUGAAACUCAAAGGAAUUGACGGGG